UACAGAGGUCUCAAGCGUUGUUCGGAUUCAUUGGGCGUAAAGGGUGCGUAGGCGGCUUGGGAAGUCCGUGGUGAAAGCUCGUGGCUCAACUGCGAGUCGGCCAUGGAUACUCCUAAGCUCGAGUCGACUAGAGGCAGAUGGAAUUCCGGGUGUAGCGGUGGAAUGCGUAGAGAUCCGGAAGAACACCGGUGGCGAAGGCGGUCUGCUGGGGUCGAACUGACGCUGAGGCGCGACAGCGUGGGGAGCAAACAGG
rnacentral:rRNA from 1 species